AUUGAACGCUGGCGGCAGGCCUAACACAUGCAAGUCGAACGGUAACAGGAAGCAGCUUGCUGCUUUGCUGACGAGUGGCGGACGGGUGAGUAAUGUCUGGGAAACUGCCUGAUGGAGGGGGAUAACUACUGGAAACGGUAGCUAAUACCGCAUAACGUCGCAAGCCCAAAGAGGGGGACCUUAGGGCCUCUUGCCAUCGGAUGUGCCCAGAUGGGAUUAGCUAGUAGGUGGGGUUACGGCUCACCUAGGCGACGAUCCCUAGCUGGUCUGAGAGGAUGACCAGCCACACUGGAACUGAGACACGGUCCAGACUCCUACGGGAGGCAGCAGUGGGGAAUAUUGCACAAUGGGCGCAAGCCUGAUGCAGCCAUGCCGCGUGUAUGAAGAAGGCCUUCGGGUUGUAAAGUACUUUCAGCGGGGAGGAAGGGAGUAAAGUUAAUACCUUUGCUCAUUGACGUUACCCGCAGAAGAAGCACCGGCUAACUCCGUG
rnacentral:rRNA from 1 species